AUAGGCUUAAAAUGGGCUGGGUA
rnacentral:siRNA from 1 species